UGUAACCUCAGUGUCUGAGCAGCCCUGUGUGCAACACAGUUAAUUUUCUCUGGGGGCUUUGCUGACAUACAAUAACAACACUUUAAAGAUUCUAGUGGACAUCAAAUAAAACAGAGCUUGUGUUUUGAAGAGCAAUGUUGUUACAACUUUGUUCAUCCUGCUCCUGUCACAUAACUGAAUCAAUUCCCAUGACAGCUAUGAAGAACUAAAGGUCAGUGGGGGUCCUCCAGUCCCACAACCAAGCCAAUGGCCUCCACAACGUUCCUGUGGAAUCCCCAGCGAAGACAGAGCCAGGUUGGUAUCACUCACCCUGCAUACCAGUAAUGAUCUGACUGAAUGGAAUGUGGACGAACCGCUUCGCAUAUCCUGGACAGAACGAGGCCCAAGUCAUUGUCAAAAUCGGAGUGACAAGUAUGUUGUGUCCGAGAGAAAAAACGAAAAAGGUCAUAGCCGUCAUCUGCCUAAAACCAUUUUUAAACGCAGACUUCACAACGGGGAACAAGUUGAUCGUGAGUGGUUGCUGUACUCACCUUCAAAAGGCUGUGUGUUUUCUGUUGUGUGCAAGUUGUUUUCCUUGAAGAAAGGUGCUAUGUCUGAUGACUGGAAACAUGCUGCAGUCAGACUGGCAGAGCAUGAACAAUCCCAAGAGCAUAAUCGGUCUAUGCUUUUGUGGUGUUCGAGAAAACGGGAAGCUGGGCGAAUUGACACCUCACUGGAAAUCAACAUAAAAAAAGGAGCAGGAGUACUGGAAAAAUGUACUGAAACAUGUAGUUCAGGUUAUUCAAUUUCUUGCUGAACGUGGUCUGGCAUUUCUUGGAGAGGAUGAGACACUUGGUUCACCACACAAUGGAAACUGUUGGGGAAUAGUACAGCUCAUCUGCAAGUUCAACCCAUUCCUGUCUGAUCAACUGUCAACAAGGCAACAAACAAGGCAUCUGAAAGUUGCACGGAUGCCAUAUCUUUCUUUGGAGUUUUGUCGGGAAUUUACAAUUUGUUUUCUGCUUAUCACUGGAAAAUACUUAGCAGAAACCUGGGGAAAGAUAACAUUGUUAUCAAGUGACUGUCAGAUACAAGUGGUCAGCGAGAUCGGACACUGUUAAGGCAUUUAAGAAUGGCUAUGCACACGUAAAGAAGGCUCUUGAUACAAUCACCGAAGACAGAGAUCAUCAUUCACCAGAAACCAGACAUAUGGCGAAACAUUACGGUAGUCAAAAGGAUCACAUAGAAAUGGUGAUUCUAGCAGACUUGUGGGAUAACAUUUUGGCGAGAUCUGACAAAACCAGUAAAUCCAUGAAGUUUCACUACAGGGCAGAGACAGAUUUCGUGUCCAGACUUUCCUAAAGAUUCUGGAUACUCUUUCAACAGACUGGCUGCACCGAUCAAAAGCUUAUGUUACUGUGCAUAACUUGUUUGGCUUCCUUACCGACUUUCAGAACAUGUCAGAAUAUGACAUCAAUAACUAAGAUGCUACAUUUGUGCAAACCUAUCCUGUAGAUCUAGCCGAAUAUUUCCAAUCAGAAACGCUCACGUUUACCUAAUUAAUUUCUGGCAAGGAUAAGAGAACAGCGUCUGACCACUUUCAUCAUCCUGAACUCUCAGGUGAUUUCCAGGUUUCCGAAUGUCUCCACUGCCCUGCGCAUUUACCUAUCCUUAAUGUGCACUUUCUGGCGAGAUCCAUCAUGAACCAGGAUCACCUAAACAGCCUUGCCAUCAUAUCCACGGAAUGAGAUAUAAUAAGAAAAUUGGAUUUUUCUGACAUUAUUAGACACUUUACACAGGUGAAAUCGAGACGACAAUUGUAAAAUGAGUCUUAAAUAUGCUUUACAUGCGUCUCUGUUAAAUUCCCAUUCCUUGACAAGUAUAAGUACUGAAAAAUGUGUCUGCUUCAUCCUGUCAGUUAAAUCCGGCCCCGACAACUGGCAACAUGAUCUUUAAUAGUAUUGACUCGUACAGGACAAAUCAAAUGACAGCAAAACUUCAAGAAAAGUAUUCAACCAUUCUCAUAGAUAAUUAGAUUUUGUUUUUAGCGCUGUCUUUUACUGAAACAUUGCAUUUUUUUUCAUUGGUGCAGACGUCAUGUUGAGUUUCAGCAGAGAUACGUGAGUAAAGUCACAUGAUGAAUUAACUCAACUUGGCUGGGUGUAUUUCCAAACUCACCAGUAAAGACCCAAGCAGAGGUAAACAAUACCUGGCACAUUGUGAGCUUUCUGAACCUCAAACAGCAUCUAAUGCUUACAUUUAUUAGACAGAGCACUCAAAUCAGGUGCUGUUUGCUCAACUGUUUCUGUAGUUGAUACAUUUCAUCACACGUUUACAAAACAGACAACAACUUGUGUCUAGCAGCAAUAGUUGUGCUAUUGUUGUGCUUAAAAGAUUAUAUUCAGAGAAAGUAUGAAGGAUUAAUAUUGUUCACACAUGAUUUGAUUUAAUUUUAAAAUACCUUUCAACAGUAAAAUAUAGAUUUAUUGCUACUAUGCCAUUUUAUAAUCAUUCUGAAGAAAAAUAAUCAUUGACCUUGACAGUACUGGAUCUUGUUUAGACUUGUUCCAAGCUGCAAUUCCAACUUACUGUACAUAACUUCUCUUACGAUACCAAGGGAGAAGUGGAAAUGUUUGUCAGUACACGAAUUUAACCAAACAAGGGAAAACGAAUAGUAUUACAAACGCAAAAGCUGAUUGCUGAUUCUUGAUAGAAUACUGUAGCAAUGAGACCAACCUCAUCAGGAAUACAGGUCAGUUGAGCACAUCAGACUCAGUGUGGACCCAUACUAAACCCAGCCAGAGUUGCAGGUAUUACUUCUACAGUGCCUGAAGUCGUAUUGCUUAAACAAUCCAAAUUACAUUUUCUGAAGCUCUUAUGACAUAUAUUUGGGCAAGGAUAUACAGGUAAUUAAGCAGUAUCUCCAGUGCGCCAAGAGUACAAGGAUGUAACAGACUUAUGAGGGGAUAAGCGAGGAAGACUCCUGGCACACUAGAGUAUCUUCUAGAUUUUAUUUUGUUAUAUUUAUUAUUAAGUUAGGUGCUUCUUCAUUUGGCUGUGCGUAAAAAAGGUGACAGAAAAGUAAUUGGAAAAAGAGUUUCAUGGCCUUUACGGACUAAAUCUGUAAAGACCUUAAAAGCCUUAUAGCUGCUUAUAGGGUAGUGAGUAAUUUGCUUCACAAUCUGUUUAUAAGCAUAAUUACAGUUCAUAUUAACAUGUUUACAGCCAUAAAUACAGUUACCAAUAAAUAACCUUUAUUAAAAUACAGUUCAUCAUAAAUAAUGUGUGUUUAAAUAAACGUCAUAACAAUUUCUAAGAAAAAUAUAUGUUUAAAUAACCACAAUCACAGUGUGUCACAAAAAAAAUAAAGCCUAAUUCCAGAGGGUUAAAGUUACUACCAGUAGUCCUGUUUAACCUGAACAGUGUGUUUUUCUUUUUUUACUUUUUUCUUAAUCAUUUUUUGUCUUGCCUUGAAACUGCAUAGCACUCAAGUUACUCCCUAAAGAAAUUCCUGUUUGUGACAAAAAGAAAACAUGCUGAUGAUUCCAAAACCAUAUUUUAAAUUGCUAAAAUCCACUAGCAGCAUUGCUUGCAGGAAUCUGUGUAGUACUGUAAAGUAAUACCUAUUUUUAGCACGGACGUUGAUAGGUAGGCUUAUCCCUGUCAUGAACUGCCACUCGCAAGUGAGAUGGUCUAUUCAUCAGCACUGACACCCCAUAACUGAAAGGCUAUCAAAUAAAGGACCUGUCACAUUUACAAUAAGCCUUUUGUUUUUCUUAGCUGUGAAGUAAUACAGUGUAAGGUUCUGCUUUCUAUCAAAACCAUGUCAUCUUCCUUGGCCGCGGGCUUCAUAAAUCACAGAAAAACUUCUGCACCUCGACCCCCCUCUGCAUACCCUCUGGAUUACUAAUACUGGCUACAAUCCAACCACUGUACAGCCUUCAUUCUUAAAACUGACGGGCAUGCACUGCUGACAAAGUGAGGAUCUGUCUGCCUUGUUCUAAAACUCCACUGCUUUCAAAGAUAAAAAUGAUUAAGCUUGGGUGACAAUAUGCACAAACUACUACAGUAUAUGUAAAGAAUGCAAUAUAGCAGUGAUGCUUAAAUUAUUUCAAGUAACACCAUUGUUAUGUACCGUAUCUAUUACCAUUCACUAGCCCUCUCCCCAAAGAAUUCCAAUAAUUGGUGGUAUUUAUAAAUGUAUUACAUAGAUAUAAGGUUCAGUGGCUACAGGCAGACCGUACUAAAAGACAACAUCUUCCAUAACUCUGUCAUGGGCAGUCAAUUCCACACUGAUUCAACAAGAUGAGCCUCCAAGCUGUUUAAAUUGUAUAAAAUAUAAAAGAUAUAUUUGACCAUUCAUUAAUGAUAACAGUCUCCAAUCCCUAAGCGAUGAGCCACACUUUUCACGGUUCUUUAAAUGCCAUUCAUUUGUGCAGUACUGGAUAUGGAAGCACACACCAACCAACCUAGGGUCUAUCCAAGACUGAUCUUGCCUAUCAAAGGCCAAAAAUGCCUCAAAGAGGGGAAUGCAGCUUUUAUCUUAGUGAUAUCUUAUUAAAUAAGUUAAAAUGCAAAAACAGACCGUUUGUACAACACGCGCUACUUAUCAUAUCAUGCGUUACAAAUGUGUUGUCCAAGAAUGUACUGUAUUGUGUACAACAGGCACUAAAAAGGCUUACCACACCACCUUGAAUAUAAGCGUAUAUUUUCACAGUUUAUAUUACACCUAUUUUCACAAGUUGCUUUUUCUGCUUGUCUUUGAGCACUUAUAUUUGCUCAUAACACAGUUAAAAGAAACUGACCCUAAAUAAUCCACAAAAUGUUAGUAAUUAUAUAUUUUUUUAUGCUUAUAUACAAGGUUCUUCUUCAAUUCUCCAGCACAUUAGUGCAUGCGUCUACAUACAAGCACACCCUUGAAUAUACUGUUGAGCAUGAGGUUACAUUCAGCAUGAUUUCCAGUUUACAUACUUUAAUAAGCGCAUCCAGUAAAAGCUACUCGCGUAGAGUGCAGGAUGCGCCCGCCAGUCUGGACGUCACCGGUCUAGUCCAGGCUGUUCCUUUGCCGACCGAGGACGGGAGCUCCCAGGGGGCGGCGCACAAUUGGCCGAGCACUGCCAGGGGGAGGGAGGUUUAGGUUGGCCAGGGUGUCCUCGGCUCA